CGAAAUUGAACAAUCGUCAGGUUAUAAGCUCUUAUGAAAUCUGAAUAUUAUAAGUAUUACACAUCUCAAUUCUGAACAUUACAGAGUACUAAACAUUACACUACUCAAAGAUUACAGAAAUUUAGAGAAUAGAGAGAGGGAGAAAGAGAGAUAGAGAGAGAUGACAGCAGCAAGUUGGUGAAGAGGAGCAGCUGGACAUCAGGGGCGUUGGAGAGAAAGUGCAGCAGUAGGAGGCAUUGACAGGAGAAGGUGCAGCAGUUCGUGGGAGAAGAAGGGGCGCAAGGAGAGAGGUUGAGAGCAGCAGCAGCGGCAGGUAGAAGAAGUCGAGCAGAGGAGGAGCAGCAGUAGGGACGAGGGGAGGAGCAGCAACGAAGGGGUUCAGAGAGAAACCGCAGGAGGUUGGAGUUCAGAGCAGCAGCAGCGUGGAGGGUUGAGAGAGCCGCAGCAGCAGCAGAGGAAGAGAAGAAGGAGCAGCAGCAGGGGACGUUGAGAGAGAAGAGGAGCAAGAUCGGGGCAGAAAGGAGGAGAGAGGCGCUUGGUGCUGAUGGCGGCAGUGGCUGGAGAUGGUGGCGCUAGUGGAGUGGUGGAUGGAGGCUGCUGGUGGUGGGUAUGCUGGUGGAUGGAUGGGUGACGGAGGCGCACCACCACGCCGGCCUGGCCGUGGCGGCGGCGGAGUUGGAGAAAGAGAAGGAGGGGUGAGGGGGAGAGAGAUGUGCCAUGCCCGAUUUGGGGAUGAAGGCAUCUAGGGAUUUUGACCCCACGGUUGAUCAGCCCAUAUUGCAAUUUGGCCCUCCUCCUUUCCUUCUUUCUUCUGAAGUCGAUCCCCUCCAUCUUUAGUUUUGGCCCCCGGUUUCUUCUUUCCUUCAUGCUCAGGUCCCUUCCUUCACCUCUUUCCUGCCCUUCUCUCUUCUCAAUGGCCAAUUCGUCCGAAUCUUGAAGAUUAUAGUGCCUUUGCGCACUUUUCUGCAAAAUAAUCAAAUGACGAGUAAAUGAUCUUUUAUAUGAUUUUCAUUUAAAUAUAUCAUAGUUCACAGCAAGAAUGGAUCGUCGGAUCACAAUAAAUGGUGUGUUUGUGUGCCAAAAUUAUAUAUAUGAAAUGUGCUUAUCAAGUUCCCCCACACUUAAAUCUUUGCUUGUCCUCUAGCAAAGGCAUAUGACAAAAGCAAGAACAUGAACAGUGAAUUGACUAGAGAAUGUCAAGUGAAGUAGAUCUCUAAACAAAGCAUGCUUUGGACUUAGCUAAUGAAAAUUAAUGGAUAAGAGUGCUACAAAGCAAUAGGAUACUAGUAGACUCAAUAAUUUUAAACUUUUACAAUGAUAAAAAUGGAUCAACAAAUUCAAAUGCUGAUUGCGCCAAAUGGUUCCUAAAGAGAGCAUGAUCCCGAGAACAAAAAGAACUGGAAUUAAAUCUCUUAUUUGCAGAAAUAUAACUUGGUGGUUGAACCACUAAUUGAGUUUGAAGGAAGUAAUGAUAAUAUUUUAUUGAUCUCACCAAAGGAACAUACCACCGAUCCCGAGAACAUGGUAUACACCUGGCUCAACCAAUUUUUAUGAAAUUUUUUUUGUUUGUCUCCCCAAAGGAACAUACCACCGAUCCUGAGAACAUGGUAUACACCUGGUUCGACAAUUACAUUUUUAUUAUUAUUAAUUACUGCCCAAGCUAACCCGAUUUCACAUGCCACCGAUCCCGUGAACAUGACAUGCUACUGUAGGUAGCCAGACUUAUUUAUUCAUUAUUACUUAUCUUAAAUGAACAACGCUUAAGCACAAAAAUAGGAAUCAUCACUUCUCCAUGUCUGGUUCACAUGCUACCGAUCCAGGGAACAUAGCAUGCUAAUCCAUAGUGGUUAGGUGAUUGCUCUCAAUGGGAAGACACUUGGCACAAAUACAGCAUCUAAACGUGGUGAUUUAGGUGUAUCGAGGUAAAAGCAGAAAAUGAUUAAGUUUUCUAGUGUACUAGGGAUUUGAGCACUCAAAACUAAUAACUUCCACUACUUUCAGCAAAGCAAGCAUUGUAUAGAUCACUAGUUUACAAGGCAUUCAACACUCAGUUCACAUAUUCACAUCAAUCGCCCUAUGUCGAAGGUAAAAUUCAGUGGGACGGUAUUUAAGAAAUGACACAAGCAACCCAAAUAACAGUUGAUUACAGCAUGUAUAAUGUAUGAUGGUAUUCAGAUUGGGGUCAUGAAACAGCUCACCGGGUUUAUAUGAUGUAAGUCUCGCUCGAUCACUCUCACAUCCUCGUGCAUUGCGACUCCUCUCCUUUUGCUUCCCUAUCCUCAUGCCUGCUCCAGCUUCUCUCUUCAUGUGUGCUCCUUGCUUCUCCUCAUCCCCAUGCCAUGGGUCCACCAGGGUCCCAGGGAAUGUCAUCUCGAACUUGGUCAGCAUGUAGUGGAUCGUGCACAAGCAAUAACCUGAAAGAGCACUCAACCAAAGAGACAAUGCAAGUGGUAGGGAUAAUACCCUCCAAGUCAUCAAUCGAAUAUCCAAUUACAUAAGCAUAGCUAUAAAGCACAUGUUUAGGAUGGUAGAAAUUAGCAAGGUCAACACUAACAUGAGGAUGAUAUUUAUCAUUAAGCUUAAGACUAACAUGGGAAUGCUAUGUUUCAUGAAGCAUAGGACUAGCACGAGGAAAGUAACUAUGAUCAUCACAAAUGAGAGUAAUGCCACUAACAGGGUAUAUAUCAUCAUAUCCAAGCAAAUGAGUUUUCAAAUCAAUGUUAAGUGAUGGUAUCAUGUAAUGCAAGGUAGUAGCAAAGAAAUCACAAGGCAUCAUGUCAUCAAGAGGAUUGGGUAAACCUGACACAUCACGCUCUGGUAUGACGAUAGGCAAAUGAAUCGCAUGUUCUUCAUCUUCAUCUACAGCAGCUUCUUGUAUUUCUUCAGGAGUAGUAGAUGAUGAGUCUUCAACUUGAUCACUUGGGAAUUGCAGCUCUUGAUCAUCUUGUUCCUUGUCUUCUAGUUCAUCUUCUUCAAUCCGAGGUCUUUCUUCCUCUGGACUCUUGCUAUCUUGCUCAACUGGAUGUGACGGUGUUGGAACCUCACAUGUAUGACUAGAAAUCUCAGCAGCACUCAGCUCAAGGAGAGAUGAGAUAGUACUACUAGCGUUGAUGUUCUUCUCAAUCUUCCUUACUUCAUCCACUAGCUCUUUUCCACUCUUGAUAUUCUUCAUUUCAUCUAGUAUCAUCGGCCUAAUUGGAUCAUCUUCAGCACUCCAAGUGAACUCGAGACUAAGCAAUGUGAGCUUGUCUAUAUCAUCAAAUUCAUCUUGUGUGGGCACUUGCACAUGAGAUUGCUCAGCAGUUGCUGGAGUUGUUGGUUGACCAAAUGGAGGACCAUUUAACUCCAUUGGCAACAUCUCCUGGUGUUGAGGUAUAUGAGUAGGAGCUGAAUAAAUCUGUUGUGGAGCAUAGUUGUGGCUCUCCUCAUUGUACCUAAAUCCCCGCAUAUGAUUACUAGAAGCAAACGAUGAGAUCUCAGGGUUGUUGCUCCUAUAUGACAUAUUCGGGUUUUCAGGCCACCCAUAUGAGUAAUUGUUUUGGUAUGAGCUAUGAUCUUGAGCGAAGCUCAUGCCAAAACAAUCUGGAGUGUGAGAGUAGCCACGCUGACAUUCAGCGGGCGAAUGGCCCUGAAAUCCACAAAUAUGGCAAGUAGGAGCAACAUAAGGAUGGCCUCUGGAAUAAGGAUCGUAAGAACUAGGACUAUCCUCAAAAACUACAUCUCGCUGCCGAGCUAAAUCAUGUAAUCGAUGGGAAAUCUUACCUAUCAGUUCUUGAAUACUUUCCAUGCUGUUUGUAGUGUUGCUCGCAUAAGCAUGAUGAUCUGAAUAGAAUGCCAUUUCCGAGAAGAUAGUUCUAACCUGCAAAAAGGAAAAGAAAACAAAAAAAAAGAUACUAACUAGAAUAGGGGUUAGCGGUUAGAGAUAUAUCACGAAUAUAUGGCACAAACUAGAAAAAGAAGAAAAACCUAGUCUAUAGCCUAACACGGUCACACGACGCUAGUCCCCGGCAACGCUGCUAAAAUGAUCAAUUGUAAUAUAGCGGGGUUUUUACGCCCCAAACUACGAAUGUCUUGUUCUCCACAGGGACUAGACGAUCAGCGAUGAUGCUCGGCUAAAGCUAGGAUAGACAAUUUAAGUGACGAUUACUGGGAAAAUAAACCUGAAGUAUCUAAGAUCGUUUCGGAAAAUUGGCGACAAAGUAAAUGAAAAGAAGCAAAGGGAGAUUCAGAUUUUACUCAUUGUCUUUUUGGUAUUUUCGUAAUGCUUGAGAAGUUAAAAUACUAAUACGAGCAAUCAUCAAACAGCUAGGGAAUUAAAAAGACAUGAUCAUAUAUAUAACAUGGAGGAAGAAACAAGGUUUUAGGACAGAACAUGAACAUAUCACAUCAUAGGCACACAUGUAUACAUAUAUCACACGUGCUGGAGUUAACACAGACUACAAAAUGAAACAAGUUCACAAGGUUGGAUACUCAUAUAUGGUGACAGAAAGACCACAAAUACACGGCAAGAACACUUCAACUGGUGAGAACACACAAUAUGUGAUACAAUAUUUAUAAGUCCGAAACUGAACAAUCGUCAGGUUAUAAGCUCUUAUGAAAUCUGAAUAUUAUAAGUAUUACACAUCUCAAUUCUGAACAUUAUAGAGUACUAAACAUUACACUACUCAAAGAUUACAGAAAUUUAGAGAAUAGAGAGAGGGAGAAAGAGAGAUAGAGAGAGAUGACAGCAGCAAGUUGGUGAAGAGGAGCAGCUGGACAUCAGGGGCGUUGGAGAGAAAGUGCAGCAGUAGGAGGCGUUGAGAGGAGAAGGUGCAGUAGUUCGUGGGAGAAGAAGGGGCGCAAGGAGAGAGGUUGAGAGCAGCAGCAGCGGCAGGUAGAAGAAGUCGAGCGGAGGAGGAGCAGCAGUAGGGACGAGGGGAGGAGCAGCAGCGAAGGGGUUCAGAGAGAAACCGCAGGAGGUUGGGAGUUCAGAGCAGCAGCAGCGUGGAGGGUUGAGAGAGCAGCAGCAGCAACAGAGGAAGAGAAGAAGGAGCAGCAGCAGGGUACGUUGAGAGACAAGAGGAGCAAGAUCGGGGCAGAAAGGAGGAGAGAGGCGCUUGGUGCUGAUGGCGGCAAUGGCUGGAGAUGGUGGCGCUAGUGGAGUGGUGGAUGGAGGCUGCUGGUGGUGGGUAUGCUGGUGGAUGGAUGGGUGACGGAGGCGCACCACCACGCCGGCCUGGCCGUGGCGGCGGCGGAGUUGGAGAAGGAGAAGGAGGGGUGAGGGGGAGAGAGAUG
rnacentral:lncRNA from 1 species